rnacentral:rRNA from 1 species
CGAGUCGAGUUGUUUGGGAAUGCAGCUCUAAAUGGGUGGUAAAUUUCAUCUAAAGCUAAAUACCGGCCAGAGACCGAUAGCGCACAAGUAGAGUGAUCGAAAGAUGAAAAGCACUUUGGAAAGAGAGUUAAAAAGUACGUGAAAUUGUUGAAAGGGAAGCGCUUGCAACCAGACCUGCUUUCGGGUGAUCAACCGUCGUUCUCGGCGAUGCACUCGCCCGUUGCAGGCCAGCAUCGGUUCGAGCGGCCGGACAAAGGCCCCGGGAAUGUAGCUUCCCCCGGGAAGUCUUAUAGCCCGGGGUGCAAUGCGGCCAGCCCGGACCGAGGACCGCGCUUCGGCUAGGAUGCUGGCGUAAUGGUUGUAAGCGGCCCGUCUUGAAACACGGACCAAGGAGUCUAACAUCUAUGCGAGUGUUUGGGUGUCAAACCCAUGCGCGGAAUGAAAGUGAACGGAGGUGAGAACCCGCAAGGGCGCAUCAUCGACCGAUCCAGAUGUCUUCGGAUGGAUUUGAGUAAGAGCAUAGCUGUUGGGACCCGAAAGAUGGUGAACUAUGCCUGAAUAGGGUGAAGCCAGAGGAAACUCUGGUGGAGGCUCGCAGCGGUUCUGACGUGCAAAUCGAUCGUC